GUGGGGAAUUUUGGACAAUGGGCGCAAGCCUGAUCCAGCCAUUCCGCGUGCAGGAUGAAGGCCUUCGGGUUGUAAACUGCUUUUGUACGGAACGAAAAGCCUCUGGUUAAUACCCGGGGGUCAUGACGGUACCGUAAGAAUAAGCACCGGCUAACUACGUGCCAGCAGCCGCGGUAAUACGUAGGGUGCGAGCGUUAAUCGGAAUUACUGGGCGUAAAGCGUGCGCAGGCGGUGAUGUAAGACAGUUGUGAAAUCCCCGGGCUCAACCUGGGAACUGCAUCUGUGACUGCAUUGCUGGAGUGCGGCAGAGGGGGAUGGAAUUCCGCGUGUAGCAGUGAAAUGCGUAGAUAUGCGGAGGAACACCGAUGGCGAAGGCAAUCCCCUGGACCUGCACUGACGCUCAUGCACGAAAGCGUGGGGAGCAAACAGGAUUAGAUACCCCGGUAGUCC
rnacentral:rRNA from 1 species